AUUGAACGCUGGCGGCAGGCCUAACACAUGCAAGUCGAGCGGAUGAGAGGAGCUUGCUUCUCGAUUCAGCGGCGGAUGGGUGAGUAAUGCCUAGGAAUCUGCCUGGUAGUGGGGGACAACGUUUCGAAAGGAACGCUAAUACCGCAUACGUCCUACGGGAGAAAGCAGGGGACCUUCGGGCCUUGCGCUAUCAGAUGAGCCUAGGUCGGAUUAGCUAGUUGGUGAGGUAAUGGCUCACCAAGGCGACGAUCCGUAACUGGUGUGAGAGGAUGAUCAGUCACACUGGAACUGAGACACGGUCCAGACUCCUACGGGAGGCAGCAGUGGGGAAUAUUGGACAAUGGGCGAAAGCCUGAUCCAGCCAUGCCGCGUGUGUGAAGAAGGUCUUCGGAUUGUAAAGCACUUUAAGUUGGGAGGAAGGGUUGUAGAUUAAUACUCUGCAAUUUUGACGUUACCGACAGAAUAAGCACCGGCUAACUCUGUGCCAGCAGCCGCCGCAGUAA
rnacentral:rRNA from 1 species